rnacentral:lncRNA from 1 species
UUUUCUGUUAUAUACCUGAAUCGGACAAAAUACAGGCCGUCGAUUUGUUUUUCGAUUUUGAGGGUCUUAACGAUCACCAAAUUGGCUGAAAUUUUACAGAGAUGAUCUACACAAGAUGAUCUAGAUAUGUCUAGAAAGAAGUUUGAGGAAAUUUGAUCGGGAAGUGAUGUAAAAAUAGAAAUCCGCACUAAAACUUUGGUGCGGACGUCCGCACCUGAUGAGCUUUAUGUAUAUAUACACACAUAUAGUCGUUUUCAGAUACGGAGGUCCGUAUCUUUCAAAAAAUGCGGAUGAUCAACGUUGGCCGUUGGAUCAUCUUAAAUAGACUUCAAUGGCCAUGAUUAAAACAGACAAAAUGGAUGUUUUAAAAGGCUAGAUGGAUCUUGGAUUCGACCCGGGUCUUACAUGAAAGUGAUAAAACGGAGACGAAGAGGAAUUGAGCACCGAAGAAAAUUGAGCAUGAAAUCGGAUGAUCAGCUCCGUUAUGGUCAUAACGGCGUCAAGAGUGACCUCCUUGGGCUCCACCCAGUUGAAUCUGUGCAACAAUUAACGAAGAAGAUCCAAGACAAGAUGGAGAGGAGAAUCGUUGCAUUUAUCAAUGCAGAACUUUGCUCCCAACAGCUCCUUGGUUCAAGGAACCAUUGAGGCCUAAUUCUUGUUCACCCAGUUUUCACUUUUCAAUACCACCAAUUCUUCUGUUCCUCAAACACGUCCACUAUCAGAAAUCAACAGCUUGGUGCCUCGGUUCCUCUCCGCGUUUGUUCUCUGCAAACGGGUUUUAUCUUCGACCCGGGUCGAAUCCAAGAUCCAUCUAGCCUUUUAAAACAUCCUUUUGUCUAUUUUAAUCAUGGCCGUUGAAGUCUAUUUAAGAUGAUCCAACGGCCAACGUUGAUCAUCCGCAUUUUUUGAAAGAUACAGACCUCCGUAUUUGAAAACGACUAUAUAUAAAUAUAUACACAGAGCCCUUCUAAUGAGGGAUCCCUAUUUUAAGCCAUUUAUAGGGAUAGGACAUUACACCAACUUCCCGAUUAUAAUUUUACAUCUCCACCGUUCAUAUCUUAGGUCUAUAUGAGUAGAUCACCUCUAUAAAAUUUCAUAUGAUUUGGUGAUCGUUAAGGCUUUCAAAAGUUCAAUUUAGUUUUAAUAACCUUCAACGGUUUUAGUUUGACAUAAGCUGGACCGUUCAAGAUCAUUAAAACUAAAUCAAACUUUUGAAAGCCUUAACGAUCACUAAAUCAUAUGAAAUUUUGUAGAGGUGAUCUACUCAUAUAGACCUAAGAUAUGAACGGUGGAGAUGUAAAAAUUCAAUUGGGAAGUGGUGUAAUGCCCUAUCCUUAGAAAGUGACCAAAAAUAAGAAUCCCUCGAUAGAAGGGGGCUAUAUAUAUAUAUAUAUCAUUUGCAUUUGAAUGAUGGGACAUAAUAAUUAGUUAUAUUGAUCUCUAAUCAAUGAGUAAGUGACAUAUGUAAGCUUCAGGAGUUAUGGGUUUUAGUAGUAUUUCUAGAGCUAGGGUUUAUUAAAGGUUAAAAUUUGAUACGGGGAUGAAAGGUCAAGUGUGAUGCUUAAUAUUUGGAUCUAGGUUGACAGAUUGCAUCGUAGAGAGUGUGAUAUGAGAAUAUACCUGUGUGAAUCACAACUAUCUUGUGGAAUGCAUGUAGAUUACUGUUAAUCAAGCUGACAUCGUUUUGGCUAGACAUUAAUUAGCUACUCUCAAGUCUUAAUUCCCAAAAUCACAAACGUCGUCUUCUCAUCUCCUAAACUUUGAUUGUUAAUCCACGACUCUUAAAUUCUCAUCGAUUUUAGUCCUUUUAGUGAGCUGAUUGACUGUCUCAAUCGACGACUUAUUUGAGCUCGGUAAUCUCUUUCACGGCUCUCAAAUUAACAAAAAAUUUCCCAAAAUCACACUGGUUGAAAUUUGAUGUGUUACAAUUAACCCGGGUAACAAUAUCAUCCUGGCUCCGCCACUGAACCAGAUGAUGAAAUAUUAUUGUGUCAUCCCCGAAUAAUUCUAAUGAUCGAUGCAUUUUUUUCAAGUUCUCUCACCACUUACAAAAUUGCCAUCGUUUUGUUUGUCAUGUGGCAACUUAAUUAUGAGAAAAGCUCUGGACACAUUCAGAGAUGAAUAAAUCAUACAUAUGAAUAUAUCAACCCAUUCUGCUUAUCGAUCUAUAUAAUGGAGAACAUGAUGAAGCAUCUGACUUACUGGUGAGCCAUGCAUAUGUAUUCACCUAACCAAAUCAACUUGAUCAUUGUUUGUCUAUUUUUAUUGGCAAGUUGAUUGGGAUGUGGCAGUACUCUGGGCUCCUGCCAACCUUAUAAGAAGGGCUCUAGGUCUGUGUUAGUACUCAGUACCUCAUUCACCCUAGGUCCCUAGCCUUGGGAUUGAACUCUCGAGGUCGAAGUAGCUAGGUAUCGUAGUUUAUCUGUUUUCUAAAUGUCAAAGUUUGUGUUGUAGAUUGUAAACUGUCUAGCAGAAUAUAUAAUCUACAAUUCCGGCUUUAACUUUAAGAAUGCUAUAAUCCACCGGAGUCAUCAACCGGUCGACGUAAACGAUUAUUGAGGUCCAAGUCGGCCGUAUCGUAGUUAUUAUGUGUUCUUAAGGUCAAAAUCAGUGUUGUAGAUUGUACUGUGAUCUGUCUAGCAGAAUAUAUAAUCUACAAUACUGAUUUUGAUUUUAAGAAUGCCAUAAUCCACGAAGUCCCCGGCCGGCUGGUCACUGUCAACGUGGAGGUCGAAAUCUGUCGUAUCGUUCUUAUUCUGUUCUUGAGGUCAAAAUCCAUAUUGUAGAUUGCACCGCAGAAUAUACGAUCUACAAUGCAGACUUUGACCUUAAGAAUGUCAUAAUCUACGAGCUAGGAGUCCCAACAGAUCACCGUAAAAGCUAGCAAGGAGCCUAGCAGCAAGACAUGAUCACCAGACAACAUCGUGGCUUUCAAAUUCUGACUUUCACCUUAUCACCGUAUCGUAGUUUUUCCAUCUCUCUCUCUCUNNNNNNNNNNNNNNNNNNNNCUCUCUCUCUCUCUCUCUCUCUCUCUCUCUCUCUCUCUCUCUCUCUCUCUCUCUCUCUCUCUCUCUCUCUCUCUCUCUCUCUCUUCCCCUUUUCUUUGUUGCACUUUUUACUACGUUUUAAUUGUAUUUUUAUUUUCAGUUUUGUUUGUUACAUCUAAAAAUGUAGUAAACUAUACUCAGUGAGUAUUGGUUCUAGCUAUUGGCGUCACGAUUCAUUUGAUAUAAUGCUUUAAUAAUCAAAGUUACUUGCAAUGUUGUAUUGUUUCUGCUUAUAUUAGUAGUAAUAUACAAUUGUUUUUCCGCACUUUGAACGGAGAUGUAUGAUGGAGACGAUCAAACAACUAAAGAAAAUUAAGGUAUUGACUGUAGCACAAAGAGUACUGAGGCAUAUAUGUGAUUCACAAGAAAACAACCAAAACUAGCAGCGGAUGCUAUCUUUUCUUCGUUUCUAUGAGAUGACAUAAUAUAGUCUUUUUUUUUCUUUCUUAAACAUUGGGGUAUGCAAAACAAACACGAAGACACUGGUCGAAGACAUGCACUUUUGAGGAAAUCACUAUCUUUGUUCAAUAAUAUUAUUGUUCUGUUACAUGAAUAAGAUUACAGACCCUAUUAUUCACCAUUAUGCCUAGUUGCCUACCAAAAACCGAGAUAGCUAGUUUUAUACUCUGAGGCUGUCAUAGAGGCGAGAUAUAUGGUAGGGAAUACUCCGCUGGUUAGAUCACUUCCUUGCACACUGUCGACAGAUGGAUAUGAUGAAGUUAUGAACCCAGCCAUUCUGGCCGGUAUCUCCCGUUCUCCCCUAUAAUGGAGAACAUCAAGCCUGUCUGGUCACUCUGGUGAGCCAUAUUCACCUACGUACGAAUAUAUAGACCGAAAUUUCAAGACAAAAGUAUCACAGAUCUCCAAAAGUCUUUUCGGCAAGCUCUAUAAGCCUGCAGAGAUGGAGAACAUACGUACAGCAGCACUAAAGAUCUAAAGAAAAUUCCCAAUGGAAGUAUGAAGAAAACUAGCUCAAUCAACCUUGAGACGUCCGUCGAUCUUCAGUUUUGAUACGAGAAUGUACGUAGUGGAAGUUCCGGCUGCAUGACGUACGUCAGAUCGAGUUGGCUUUGCUUGAAGCCUGAACCAAAUGAAAGUAGAUCUGCACGACCUGGAACGGUUUCACCACAAUGAAUAAUCAAGUGUAAGAACUUCCGAUAUUUUCAAAUUUUGAACUUAAAUCUCAGAAGAAAACUCAGCCGGGUUGUAUCAGUACUCUCUGGUCCAUGCCCUCCUACAAUAAGAAGGGGUCAGGGCCUGUGUUAGAACUCAGCACCAUUCAUCUCAAAACCAGUCACAGUGUUGUCUGGUGAGGUCAUGUUUCUAGCGUUUACUACGGCUAUGGUGACCGGAGACUCGAUCGCCAUCGAUCAUGGCAUUCUAAAGAUCGAAGUAAGUAUUAUUUCGACCUUAAGAAUGCCAUAAUCUAUGGCGAGUGUGCGGCCGAUCACCAUGGCCACCACAAAUGUUAGCAACAACACCUCAGCAGACAACACUACUGUAUAUGGCUUCAUUAAUGCCAAUGGCACAGGGGGCUUGCCUUCUCCAGAGCUAGGGUUAGAGAUUAUAUAAAGCCUUAGGAAGUUGGCUCAACCACGGCAUCUCUUCUCAGGAAUUUUAAGUAAUUGGAGCUACGUGAUUGUCAGGGACGAAGAGGAUACGGUGUCAGUUCCAAUCAUAUUGUUUAAUCUGAUACUCUGAAUCUGUGAGUCCGCACGUUGUUUCUGGACAAAUCCGGUGGGCGGUGGCUGGAGAAAUUAGAAAGGAGCCAGAGGUAAGGCUUUCAAUCUACCAAAACUAGUGGAUGCCACCUUCUCUUCGUUUCAUUUGCUACGAGUUAAGUCAUAGAAUAUAACCCUAGUAUACAGUCCUCUUCUCUCAAACAUUGGUAUGCAGAACAAGGCGACAAUAAGAGAUGCCUGACGUACUGUAACAUUUGAUCAUUAUUGGAACAACUUAAAGAACAACACUCAGGAAUAAUGGAGAACAUGAAGCCUGACGUACUGGUGAGACAAUUUUCACUUAACAAAAGCAACUUGGUUAUUAUUUGUCUAAUUUUAUUGGCAAGUUGAUCGAUCAAACAUCUGGAGAGAAAAUGAAGGCACAAUUGUUGCCUACUCAUCCAACUCGAACGGCAUGUAUCUAAUGCACAAGAGAGCAACCAAACCUACCGGAGGCCACGUACCUUCUCUUCGUUCCAUUUGCUAUUUUGCUACGUACGAGUUUCUUUGUUGAUAGAAUAUAGUCAAUAUGCAAUCUUCUUUUCUUAGACAUUGGUACGCAAACCAAACACACAGAGAUGCGCAUUUGAUUUGUAAUUGUACGUUAGCAACAACUUUACAGUGAAAUCACUAUCUUUGUUCAAUUGUUUUGUUACACGAAUAAGCAGAUUACAGAGUAGUGUUCACAUGGUUAGUCACUGAUCAAGAGAUUCAUAGUCAGUCAUCAUUAGAUUUUACAUCCAAUGGUUAAAAAAAAAAUAACUUAAAUCUAAUGGUGACUGACUAUGAAUCUCUUAGUCAAUCACUGACUAUGUGAGUAUGACCGUAAGAUUACAUACACUAUCAAUGUACCUCUCCCUAUUGUUUACCAUUUUGCAGACCAGAACCGAGAAAUUUUACACUCUGAAAUUAGCAUCAGAUGCUAUUUUUGUUCCUACUUAGAAGCAAAGAAGGUAAAUGAACUCCUGAGGCUGUCAUCGAGGCAAGAUAGUAGGGACUACACCACUGUUUAGAUCACUUCCUUGGACACUGGAGGAGCACAUAUACGGGUCCCCAGUAAAAGUCGAAGAAGUUGGUGAUUUUUCAUUGUACGAGGAACCAGAUGAUGAAAAUAUUGUAUCAGCUCCCGGCAUAAUUUUGAUGAUGUUUUCAAGCUCCCUCACCACAUCUAACAUUGAUGGCCGGUCGUCUUGUUUAUCUUGGCAACAUCUGAGGGCCAAAGCUACAAACCUCUCGACACAUUCAGAUGGAUAUGAACCCAUUCUGGUAUCUAUAAUGGAGAACAUUAAGCCCGACUGAUGAGCCAUAUUUACCUAAGAAACAAGAACUUGAUUAUUAUGUGUACCCUUAUUGCUAACGAAAUUAAAAGAAAUAAAAUUUCCGUUUUAGUCUUAUACCUCCCGAACAAUGUUUUUGCCAUGUGAUAUUGGCAGCACACCAGUCAAGAGCUCCAGGAACACAAUUCCAAGGCUAUAGACAUCGCUUUUGUCUGUUAACUGACUGGUCAAGAAAUACUCUGGAUCCAGGUAGCCCUGCAAGUAUGAUCCCAAAGUGUUAUGAAAUUAACAAAUUCAGUUAAGAAGCAACUUUUUGUUAUGUUUCAAACUCUACAGCCACUCUUAUAAGCUGUACCAAACUAAACAUACCGGUGUUCCUCUCACAACUGUAGAUACGUAUCCAGGGCCAGUCCCUUCAUCAUCCUGGACAGGAGCAAGUCGUGAGAGUCCAAAAUCAGCCACCUUAGCAGUAUAGUUGGAGUCCAAAAGUAUGUUGGUGGCUUUAAUAUCUCGGUGAAAUAUAGGAGGAUUCGCCUCGGUAUGGAGAUAAAGAAUUCCUUUGGCUGAACCCAAUGCAAUACGUAACCUCAUACUGAAGUCCAGGCUUCCCUUGAUUUUAUCUGUGACUCGUAUGACAGUAAGUAAACAGAAUUAGCUAGAUGAAACUCUAGCCAAAAAGGCAUGGUAUGGGAGGAGCCAUUUAAAAAGAAAAACUUCAAAUGUUGGAAAGUCCAUACCAGAAAGCCAGUCACGUAAGGUACCAUUAGGCAUGAACUCAUAAACCAACACCUGUGGGAGCAGCAACAACAUAAUUCAAUUAAUGACAUUUCUUGUGCUCCUAAUCCAUUGAAGCAUACCAGCAUGCCACAAUGCAUGCUUAAACUCCUACUUCUUACAUUCAUGAAAUUAAAGAAUAUGCAAUAAAGAGUCACCAAGUAAAACAGCAAAGUAAAUCCAUUUAUGAGUUCAACUUCCAACUGAUAAAAUUCAGACUAAUUUUCCCCGUUCAGAAUGAGAGGGAAGGAAGAUAUAUAUAUACACACACGGAGCCGUUCCAAAGAGGACGUCCAUACAGCCCUUAAAGUGUGGACGUCCAUUCGUUCUCCACCGGAUAGCUCCGACGACGGCGCGCCUCUACCCUAAAGGACUCCAGUAGCGUCUCCGAUCACUUUCUCUCCCCGGUAAAUCCGCUGAAUUCCAGUUUUGCAGCGAGAUCACCUAAAACUUCAAACAAAAUCGAUCUCGCUGAAAAACUGGAAUUCAGCGGACUCGCCGGGGNNNNNNNNNNNNNNNNNNNNCAGUCCUAACAUCACCGAAACACAAAACUCCGGUCCAAUUCGCUAUACAUGGAUCCCCUUUGUCCCAAUUCCUCAAAUGCUUCAUGGGAUCAAUCAAACUACCCUUCACUGCCCUCAAUGCAUCAACUGCAAAUGCGCACACAACUCAUAAUCCAAUUCCCACCAUAACUAACCCAAAAAUCCUAUGUAACAGUAAACCAAUUGGGUUAAACUCCAAUUGGGUUUAGCAAACAUGUAUCAAAACUCACCUUCAGAAGGAUUUGUAACUUGUGCCACUGCAACUAGGAAGAACCAAGAACAAGCCAGAGCAAUGAGACAACCCCAAAAUUUCAACCUCAACAUUCUAACAAUCCAAAACAAGCAAUUCUCAGCAACAGAAUCAAUCAACAAACUCAAAAAACACAUAAAAGCUUGAAACUUUAUAAAGAUUUCAAAAGCAAAACGAUACCUUUCGGUUAAAGAAGUGAACUUUGAGACUUGUCGGGUGAAUUUGUGCAGAAAAUCAAAUGAUACUUAGGAUGAUAAAGGAUUGUGGUACUUGGUUGUCGUCAAUGAUAUGAUGACCCUUCAUUAUAGCCUCUGAGACUAACUGUGUGGAGUUGGCGAUUUUACAGAUUAUAUAUAUCUAAUUAUUUUAAUCUGGGGAGUAAGAGCUGAAAAGAUAAGUACUUGAUGGAGAAACUUGGAGUCUUCUACUUCUGUGUUGUCUCUUUCCAGACUCUUCAGCUUUUCUAUCUUCUCGGCUUGAGAGUUAGUGUGAGUGUGAUAGUGAAACCUAAGGGGGAGGGGGUGGACUUCUCUUUGACCAUUUCGAUUGUUCCAAACCCGCCUUUUUUUUUUAAAGUGCUUGUGGCUGUGGGGGUGGGAGACCAAUUGGAUCUUUGUACUUUGCUUAUAAAACUCGUCUGGUUUUCUAAAAGGAGAAAAAUACCACGUUUACUUGAAUUUUAUGCCUCCAAGUGAUUCCCUUUCACACUAUCUAACAAAAUUUAGAUCUAGAUUUUGGGUUUGUUUAAGCUUUUUCUUUGUGGGAUUGGAUUGUUUAAUCUUUGAGAGUGAGCAUUAUUAAUCAGGAUUAAGGAUUAAAAUAUCGGUAUCGGUGGAUCUAUCAGUACUUUGAAAAAAAAAUUUGAAAAAAAGAGAUAUCGGAUAUAUCAGGGAUAUCCGGUAAAAAAUAUCGGGUUUUAGAUAAAUACAUGAUUUUCUUUGAUUAUUGCUUUUGUAGAUUUUCUUUUUCCCAAGUCAAUAGCAUGAAAAAUAAGAAGAAGAAAACAAUGUUGCUUUGUCACGACAGCUAAUCUACUGUGAAAACAAUUGGUUAUAUCAUCACCAUCUGCUUGACUUGACAAAGCAAACAAUUUAUUUAAGACUUUGUCCCUCUCAUUCCAUUUUCAGGAUUACCAAAUGGAAUACCAACGAUUAACACGAAACAAAAUAUCAAUCUUUCUCAUUUGCCACACUUCGCACGGCAUUGACUAGCAAUAUUGGUCCAUUAAUACUGCUAUAUCAGAGCUACUAGUAUUUUGAUUAUGACAUUAGAAAACAAAAACUUUAUAACUUGAUGUUCUUCUUACGAGAAUAGUUCCCACAACUUGAGGAUGACCUCUGGGGCCAGUAAUGGACUAAUGGUACGUGAUGGUAAGCUACAUAUAUUCCAAGUUCAAUUCCAACAUGCAUGCAUACAUGGUGAUACUAAUAGUCAGUCGCUUACCAUCUGCGUCAUGAUCAUAUAUAUUUUCAUGCAUAUCUUUAUGUGUUUCCAUUAAUUUCCAGGAAAUAUUGGAGACGAGAAGUCUGGAAUUGAAAGCUAAAUGAAAACAAGUUACGGUACCACUUCAUCAACUGAACUUAUCAGUUAUUACCAAGGUCAUUAUAUAUACUAAAAUAGAAAAUGAAUCGUCAUAUUGACAUAGAACAAUUAUUUAGCUGCUUAAUUAAAAUUAUCGAUGAAAAUAAAAGUUGUACUACGGAUGCCCACCAAAUUAAACUUUUGGUUUUGAAUUACUCAUAUUCUCAUAUCAUAUCUUCAUCAGUUAUCUAUAUUAACUGAUGUGUGUGAUACAAGAAAUUAAACCACUUAAAGGCCAAAUUCAAUCAGAUUACUGUUGAUAUAUAUAUAUAUAUACAGGGCCCUUCCAAUAAGGGAUCCCUAUUUUAAGCCAUUUAUAGGGAUAGGGCAUUACACCAACUUCCCGAUUAUAAUUUUACAUCUCCACCGUUCAUAUCUUAGGUCUAUAUGAGUAGAUCACCUCUACAAAAUUUCAUAUGAUUUGGUGAUUGUUAAGGCUUUCAAAAGUUCAANNNNNNNNNNNNNNNNNNNNCUUCUUGGGAUUCAUUUGAGGUUAUAGUCCCAAUACCUAAAUUGAUAGACUCAAAACUUAGCGCAACUGAAGCAACAUCUUGAUCAUCAUUUGCACUUCUAGUCCUCCUCUCUAGAGGCGGAGCUAAGUUAGGACCAAAGGGUACCAUGUCACCCUUGACUCUUUGGUUGAUAAGUGAUUACUAACUAGGAAGCUAUUGAUUUAAGAAAAAUUUAUAGUUGAUUAUGCUUGAUGGCACCCCCCAAACAAAUAUGGAAACUACUCAUGCAAGGAACACAAAUGGGACGUGGCAAACUUUGCACUCAAUUCUUGGUUUCUUACUUUCUUAAAUGAAUAAAAUACAUGAAUUAAUUUCAAUCUAUAAUCUAUUUCCAAUUUCAUAACUAAAAAAACUAAACUUCCAGUUGUAAAAGUUUAAUAUAUUUGUUUAUCAGUUUGUGCAAAUAAAAUGCAAUGUCAUAGAUCGAUAAAAAAUAAAUUGCAAGAACGUAUAAUUUGACCUGAAAAAUUAAAAGACCAAUAAAGCUUCAUUUUGGUACAUGAUUCAAUUUAAUUACUCAAUCUUUCUUUUAAAUAAACGUAAUAACCAAGUAACGCGAUGCAUACCAUGACUGAUCACCAUCAAUAAAGAAAAAGCUUUCUAAAUCACUACCUAUUUAAAAUGGAGGAGAAUUUACAGGAAAAAUAAG